CCUACGGGAGGCAGCAGUAAGGAAUAUUGGUCAAUGGAGGCAACUCUGAACCAGCCAUGCCGCGUGCAGGAUGACGGCCCUAUGGGUUGUAAACUGCUUUUAUACAAGAGAAAACCCUGGUACGUGUACCAGGUUGAUAGUAUUGUAAGAAUAAGCAUCGGCUAACUUCGUGCCAGCAGCCGCGGUAAGACGAAGGAUGCAAGCGUUAUCCGGAUUCAUUGGGUUUAAAGGGUGCGUAGGCGGACUGAUAAGUCAGUGGUGAAAUCUCUUUGCUUAACAAAGAAACUGCCAUUGAUACUGUCGGUCUAGAGUAUAGAUGACGUUGGCGGAAUAUGACAUGUAGUGGUGAAAUACUUAGAUAUGUCAUAGAACACCGAUUGCGAAGGCAGCUAACGAAACUAUAAACUGACGCUGAGGCACGAAAGUGCGGGGAUCAAACAGGAUUAGAUACCCUGGUAGUCCGCACCGUAAACGAUGAUUACUCGUUGUUGGCGAUAUGACAGUCAGCGCCAAGCGAAAGCGAUAAGUAAUCACCUGGGGAGUACGCCGGCAACGGUGAAACUCAAAUGAAUUGACGGGCUGAGGACGNGCGAGGCGACACAGGGGAGAGG
rnacentral:rRNA from 1 species